rnacentral:ncRNA from 1 species
CACAGGAAUGCUUUUCAAUUUAAACUAUAUUUUUCCCUUCUUAAUAUAAAAAAAAAGAAGGGAAAAAUAAUAAAUUUAAAUAUAGUUUGUUUAAAAAAAUUAAAAACUUUCUUUAUAUUUUAUAAAAAAAUAAAUUUUGUGUAAAAAAAUAGAAGAAGAAUUUAUAAUUUUACUAAAUUGUAAAAUAGAAGUUUUUAAAAAGAUUUGGCUAAACUUGUGCCAGCCGCCGCGGUUAUACAAGUAAAUCUUUUUUUAAAAAAAUUAAAAUAUAAUAAAAUUAUUUAUAAAUAAUUUUAUAAAAUUAAUAAAGGUGAAAUUUAUAAUUUUAAUAAAAAUAAUUUUGAUUUUAAAGAAAUUUAAUAUCUAAACUAGGAUUAGAUACCCUAUUAUUUUAAGCUAUAUAUUGGUAGUAAAUAUAAUUUAUGAAAUCAUAAAAUUUUGGCGGUAUUUUAAGCUUAUUAGAGGAAUUUGCCCUGUGAUGGAUACAACGCCUGAAUCUUACUUAAUUUUGUUAUUCAAAUUCAGUUUGUAUACCACUAUAUUUAGAUAUAUUGAAUAGUUAUAUUUUAAAUUUUUUAUUCAAAAAAUAUAUUAAGUCAUGGUGCAACAAAUAAUUAUGAAUGAGGUGAAUUACAUUAAUUUUUAUGUUAUUUAUUUUUUGAAAAAAGAUUUUUAGGAUUUAAUAGUAAAAUAUUAAUAUUAUGAAUAUUUGAAUAGAGCUCUAAAAUAUGCACAUAUCGCCCGUCGCUCUCAGGAGUGAGAUAAGUCGUAACAAAGUAAAAAUACUGGAAAGUGUUUUU